rnacentral:rRNA from 1 species
UACAGAGGGUGCAAGCGUUAAUCGGAAUUACUGGGCGUAAAGCGUGUGUAGGUGGUUGGAUAAGUUAGAUGUGAAAUCCCCGGGCUUAACCUGGGCACUGCGUUUAAAACUGUUUAACUAGAGUACUGUAGAGGAUAGUGGAAUUUCCAGUGUAGCGGUGAAAUGCGUAGAUAUUGGAAGGAACACCAGUGGCGAAGGCGGGUCUCUGGACAGUUCCUGACGCUGAGGCACGAAGGCCAGGGGAGCAAACGGG